rnacentral:rRNA from 1 species
UACAGAGGUCCCAAGCGUUGUUCGGAUUCACUGGGCGUAAAGGGUGCGUAGGCGGUCGGGUAAGUCUGAUGUGAAAUCUCACAGCUUAACUGUGAAACUGCAUUGGAUACUAUCCGGCUUGAGGAAUGGAGGGGAGACUGGAAUACUUGGUGUAGCGGUGAAAUGCGCAGAUAUCGGGAGAACACCAGUGGCGAAGGCGGCACUCUGGGCCGGUACUG